rnacentral:lncRNA from 1 species
GUUAACGAUUUUCCCUAAUGCGAUCAAUAAUCGCUCGCUCCCGCUUCCACUCGCACGCUCGUCCGCAAAAACCAAGAAGAACUGAAAAAGUCUGCAACUCCAACUCCGAUGGAGACGGGGGUCUGCUGCUCCGAGCGCAAUUCCGUCUGGGGUUUGGUUGAGAGACUCGACUCUCCUACUACAUCGACUGGGGACUGUGCCGCCUCUGAGAACUGCGACACGGGCAUAUGACGCUCUAUGUUUUGCCAGAGAACAAAAAACAGAACGCCUUUUGCCUCCCAAAGAAGACAUUAAUAAUAUAUAUCUAUAUGUGUAUGCGUGGUGUGUGUGUGUGCCUAGUGUUGUUUUUUUUUUUUGCUCAUUCGUUCGUUUUUUAGACCCUCUGCACAUUUGAGGUUAAGGUAUGCCAAUGUCACUCUCAUUCAUUCUCAUUCACAUUCGUGGCAUGGCAUUCGAGGCAUCGCGAGCGGCACCAACAGCAGCAGAAGCAUCAACAGCAGAGCGCAUCUUUCCUUUUUGGCAAGUCAUUGCGAAAGUGACCCAGUUCUGGCCUCAUUCCCAGACCCAUCCUCCAACGGAUGUCUACUACCUGAAGAUGGAAACUGGACUCUGGACCAUUCAUUGAUGCAAAUAAAGAGCGCGUGGAUGUGAAUGUGGAUGUGGAAUACUUCCUGGUAGACAGGCUAGAGAGCUCUUCUGUUUUAUGGCCGCGGAUAAAACGCAUUUUAAUUUCGGUUAUAAAGAAGAUUCGGAACGGGUUCCACACUACACCGUACACCGCUUGACGCCUUCCAUUGUGCAUUCCGCUCUUAACCCUUUCACUUAGCCAAAGAUGCCAGUGUCUGAACUUGUGUGUGUAUCUGUGUGAUGUGUGGGUGUAUUCGAGUGUUCAUGUGUGUGUGUGUGCGAGGCUCGUUAUUGCAGCCAUAAACGAAUUGUUUGCUUCAUUUCUCAAUGAAACGCUGCACUCAAUUAAGAUCUACCUGAAGAUACUGUAAUUUGCGGAAAUUCCUCAUUUCCCAUAUUGUCACGAACAAUGUUCUAUUCAAUGUAGUUUUUCUAAUAGUCUAAAUUUAGGCGCUGUAUUUGGAUAUCGUUCCCCCAUUACGGUAUUCAAUGAGGGACCCUUAUGUUGGUGGUUCCCAAACCAUCACAUAGAUAAUGUGGAAUUAUUUGAUAUUUCGCUCUUCGUUCUAUUAAUAUGUCAACCAAAUAUUGACCCAAGCAAUCAUAUUUCCGGAAGUUCCAAAACACCCUAUUUACAUAUGGGCCAUUCCUAUGAGUCAUAAUAAUUUUCAAAGAUAUGUAUUUUUUUCCGUAUUUCCGUUUUUUGGAAAGGAUUUCAUUAUACUCGUAUGGAGACAUUGACAUUAACAGGAUGGUUAUUAAUCAUUAAACUAUAGAUACCUAUCUACAAAUGUACAUAUUUAUCUAUGUUCAUAAAUAUAUGUAUGUACAUAUAGAUUAAUUAUGAUCUCGUUAAUAUCAAUAUACAGCUGUGUACAUAUUUAUAACUCGCCUUUAUAUAAUAUAUGUACAUACAUAUAGUCUAAUUUUUUUCACUCACCGAAACAUUCCUUAAUGAUUUCCAUGAAAAUAUUGGCUUAAGGCAUAUUUACAUAUUUAUGUACAUAUGGAAGGUCAUACAUCUACAUAAUCGGGUCUAAAUCUGUUUAUAUGCACAGGCAACAGAGCAGUCCAACAUCUAUAUCUCAUCUUGACAUUAUCAUUAAACAUCAAACAUCUUGGCAUGGACUUUACUUACAUACAUAUAUGAAUAUCUUUAUGUGCACUUCUAAUCACCGUAAUGUGCUUAUAUGUUAUAUAUUUUUAUUGUAUUUCACAGGCCAUUCAAGUGGCUCUGGCUCAUUAAUGAUUGCUUGUGUGUUUUGUGUGCUAUAGAGUGGCAGAAGCGCAUCACGCUUUUAUAAUAAUAUAUAUCCGUAGAGUACACUUUUUUGGCGUAGACUCUUGGCAAAUACUCGUAGUAAUGGCAGCAGUCCAAAAAUGUACAUAAAUGUGUACGUACGCGUAUUUAUUUACCUUUUAGUCAUUUAUCUAUUUAUUUAUUUACUUUAAAAGCGCGCCACUGUUGGUUGUAUGGGGGUUCCAUUCAGUUUGGUUUCACUAGGGUAGGAUUGGGUUUUGCAACGACACGAUUUUAUACAGUGUGGGUUCGGCUGCACUCGGAUGGCAAAUCGGGUCUAAGCCCUGCUCAAACUUUUUAAUUAGUUCCAAUUGUUGGGGCGCACACGUCCCCCAGCAUCCCUUCAGUGCAUACUUGCGUAAAAUAUUGACUUUACUACUUUUUUCACAGCGAUGUUUUGAUUUUGUUGUUGAUAUUACUUUAAAAUGCUGCGCUUUUUGUUUGUUUUAAGCAUUUCUGUGACGCAUGCGCCAUGUGGCAAUGACUCUACAGAGACCCAUACAUAAAUAUAUUUAUAUCUACAAAAAGCAUUUGACCAACAUUUCUCAGAUAGAUGACGUCUGCUGUCUGACUGUCGCUUGGCAUGUAUCCGUAUCUGUUUCGGUUUCUGUAUCUGUAUUUUUAUUGUUAUUGUUAUUAUUUGUGAUUGUUGAUUUAUUUGUUUGUUCAAUAUUUUCACACAAAUUAAAAUACUUUGCCCACUCGUUGCCCUGUUCGCAUGUAUGUUCGUACAAAUCGGAAUCAGCGGACAGCCGACAGUGGGCAUCAAUUUCGGUUAAAUUGUUAUCUUUCUGCUCGUUUUUUUUUGGCUUAGACCAAUUAUCGAUGCUCAUUAGUGAUUAUUUAAUCAUUUGCAUCAACAACAGAAGAUCGCAACAUUCUAAUAUAUCGCUUAAACAAAUCUCCCCAGAUCAUGCGAAUUCUGAAAUUUGCGUUCGGCACUUUGCAUGUACAUAAAUCGAAGGCACGUGCCUUCAUUUGGAGGCUGGUUCUCGUGUCUUUGGUGAGUCCUUUAGCUCGAGAGAAAUAUUCUUGUACAGUUUCCCAUGUUCCAGUUGAGUAAUACUUACUCACAACACCUUCUAUAUGGGCCAGCACAAUUUAGCUAAAUUUGAAAUAUUUGUUCGGUUCUUUUUAACAAAUUAGUGAUUAAUUUAUUGCAGAAUUCUCAUGAAAUCUUAAUGGAUUCACUCUUAAGUGAAGUUAUCCAACCUAUGGUACAUAUUUUGUAUAUUUUAGCAGUUGUCUGAAUGGUUGUGUAUCUUCAGUGGGUAGCUGUUUUAUGCGUCUCUGUGUUGCAUGUGCCGUAAUGAGCGUAACCAUAAAAGCGUCUUUUGUUUUACGACCGCAUUGCGCGCGUGUUUGCCGUAGACAACAAUACAGAACAACAAUGCCAAUUUUAUGGCUGCCCCUGCCACGCAGACAAUGCCCCGGCGAACCGCAGCCCAGCAUCCGCAGAUACGAUGCUCGCCGCACAGAUACAGAUACGCACACAGCCGGCCAAAAGGUGACACCGAAACUAGAGCAGUUUCCAAAGGGUAAAGGAGAGCGUACGGGAUGCCGCGGUCUUGCAUUAAUUAGAGCGCGUUGGACAGAGGGCAGCGGCAUGGAAGGGUGGCGGCGGUGGCGGACAGGGAUCCGAUUACUUUCUUCGGAGCCAUAAAACGGUGCUCUGGAUUUCUGUCAUGGGAUGCUGGACUGGCGGCUCUUAUCUAAAUUAGGAUGUGGCUUGUUUGCGCCUGUGUCUACUCAUCGCCUGCAUUAUUUGCGUAGGUGUUUCAUUUCCGUUCCACAAUCUAUCCGCAGAAUGUUUUGCCGGCGUACUCAUCGUACCUUUGCCCCUGAACUCAUCUCGACACCGAGAAUUUCCUUUUUCUUACUUUCACAUGUGAUUUUCUUUGUUUUCUUAUCAGUUUUGGCGCGUCAACCGUCGCCGUCGACGUCGCCAUGAUUCACAUUUCCCUUGCCGCCUCGUCUGUUUGCUUAAAAAACUGCACUUUUACAAGGGCCAAGCCAAGGCAAGCCAAGACUUUCGGUGCUGCAGCAGUGACGCCCUUGGGUCGCCUUCGAUGCGGUUCCCUCCGGUGAAAUUUGGCGCAUUUCGGGGUGCGUGCCUUAUCGGGGUCGGUUCCACGACAUUAGAUACCGCAUAAAUCACAGCCUAGUCGCGGUUUUUUGCUUGAUUAUUGCCACUUUUUUAUCUUUUUCGCUGCGGUUGGCUAUAAAGUCUCUGGCUUUUAUCUAUGUGCAAACACGCGAAAGCAAUGAUAUUAAGACACUGGCGACCUUAUUUCCUCUGUCUCUGGCCCACAGGAAAACAACUAGUUUUAUUAGUUUUAAUAAAAAGAAGUUACGGCCAGUUUGGGGAAACGUAACAAUAAGGAAAUUAAAUAUAGAACGGACAAGAAUUGAAUGAAAUAUAAAUAUUUACUAGGAAAAUUGUUUCACAUGAAAGUAACAGAAAAAUGCAAAAUUAGGUUGAAAACAAUUUGAAGAAAUAAAUAAACAAUAAAUAGAAGUUUCAUGCAAUAUGCG